GUUUAUGAAUUUCAAUUGGAGAGAUAAUCUGGCUUGUGUUAUUUGAUUUGAGCUGUAGAAGUUUGUCAAGUUUUGUUCUGCUAUAAUCUGUCCAGAAUUGCAUGAUUUAUUGAUAUAUGAAUUUCAAAUCUGAUUUAUUGUAAUGGCAUGAUUUGUACUUGCGCCGAGAAUGAUUUAUUGGAAUCUUAUAAAAGUAAGAGGCCCUGGUUCUGUUUGAGUUGGGUAUAUGGUCCUGUACCUAAGGAGAAGAUUGUUGAAAACUAGGAAUUUUGUUAAUUUCUCUAGUUUGGUUUGCUUUAGAAUCUGUUUUCUCCAAAUAUUGUGAAGUUUUAAGGAUCCAGUGUAACAUAACUUUUAUUCCACUCUGACCACAAACAGAAAUAAGGUUAACAUGGAUAGUAGUUCUUACUUAUGUGUGUGUACCCAUGAUAGUUGGGCCAAUGAAUUACAAUAACAUAGAAGUUUGACUUUCACAUUCGGGUUGUUUGCAGUUUCACAGGUGAGGCUAAGGUUAUUCUGAGGGAACUUAUAGUUUCUGAAAGUGAUUGUGUUCAGUGUGAAUUAUGGUACUACAUUGAAUGAAUUUGUACUAGUACCGAGUAUUUUUAACAUGAAGCUUGGUAAUUUUUUCACUUCAAUUGGACUAUUGACAAAAGGGGAAGUUGCAUACAGAAGCAAGUUAACAAAAAUACUUUCGCUUUGUUUCAACAGAACUAUUUUUUAGAAAUAAAAUGUUACUAUUUAUUUACAAUGAUGUUAUUAUGCUUUCCCUGUACCAAACUCCCGAAACUUUAACUCAAAAAUUAAAAAUUCCCCCCACAAAAGAAGUAUACUUCAAUUUGUCUAUAAAUUAAAACCAGUCAUAUCUUGCUGCAACCCUCAUAUAAGUCACAUGAUUCCAUGUUUUCUUGUGUUCCAUUCAUGCUUGGCUUCUAUUUUACCGAGUACUGCCGUAGGAGCAUAGUCUUAUUGAUCCUAAAAAUUUACUGAACCUUAGUCUUUCCAAUUUUUAAAGGCUUUUGAGGAAGCAAUUGCUGAGCUGGACACCCUGGGAGAAGAAUCCUACAAAGACAGCACUCUCAUAAUGCAACUUUUGAGAGACAACCUCACUCUUUGGACUUCUGAUGUUCAGGUAAAUAUUACUAUAACCGAACCCCACACCCAUUAUAGAAUAUUCUUCUGUAAAAACAGUUUGAUCAAUCUCUAUUUCCUAAUGCUAAGUUAAGCUAUAUUUGAUUCCCUGCAGGACCAACUAGAUGAGCCUUGAUAUUGAUUUGAGGGGUCAUAUUCUUCCUCUGAAGGAGGUGGGCUUUGAAUGUCAUUUCUUUGUGCUGAUUAAGAAUUGCCCUAGUUUAUAUAAGAUUAUUGACAAUCUGUGAUUAUAAUGUUUUGUGAACAGAAGAAGACCAAACCAAGUUUUUUAUUGUGUUAUGUGAUUUGGAAUGGAUUUUGUAUAAUGUGAGAUCCAAUCAAUUAUAUUUGGUGCAUUAUUAUUCUCACAUGGAAGUAGCAUCAUUCAUAUAUCAAUUGUGAUGAUAGUGCAUGAUGCUGACAUAUAUAUAUAACUUUUUCCAAUAUAAAUAUCUAAUUUGUUUGUUACAUAUCAAACACCAAUUUCUGAAAGUGUCCAAAAAAACACUAGAUUUGUAGGACUGGCUUUUCAAUACAAUUUGGCCCAAUGUUGAAGGUACCAAUAUUUUUUUGUUCUACUAAUUGAAAGAUAUUUCCCUUCUCAAUCUGUCAAAAGAUCUGUGUUGAAGUAGUGAGUAUAUGAUAUACUUACAUGAGUUAAUAAAGAAGCAGUCCUAUACAUGCUGAUGCUGCACUUUACUCCUCUAGUGAUAGCAAUAAUAUACUAAACAAUAACUUUACCGUUCACUGUUGUGCUCGUGCGUGCGGCCGGAAGGUUUCUCAAACAUGCAAAUUUCACACCAUGUUUCAACUUUUGUCAGCAAAUCCAAAUGAGUAAAAUUAUACUCAUUUUAGUUUUGUUGGUUGUUUUUUUGUUGGUACCAGCAUUUGAACAUGGGUCUGAUUGAUAUAAUUUCAAAGCAUCAAAGAGACCCAAAAUGCUAGUAAAUUAUACUCGUUUGAUAAUUUGGAAAUUCUUUUCAUUUCCUUCUUUAUAUUUCUUAUUAAUUUCACUCACCAAUUGGUUAGAAGAAAGAUAUGGGGUAUAAAAAUGGAGUUAGGAUCAUCUCCAUUAAUGGAGAGACAAGUAUACCUAAAACAUGAGUAAAAAGGUAAUAUGACUUAACAUUUUUAUCCUUAAGAUAUAAUGAAAUAACAUUUUUACCCUUACAUGUAAGUAUAAAAGUGAUCACUUACCUCUCCAUUAAUGGAGAGUAUCCUAACUCAUAAAAAUGAAGCCUAAUGAGUAUCUAUAGGGACCUAAACAAAUUAUCUUUUCGUUCUAUAGUAUGAACUUUAAGGAGUAUGAAGUUUCAUUUUUUAUUUGAUAUAAGUAAGUCGAUAAAGAAUCCAUUUAACUUCAUUUGUUCCAUGCCAAAAGCAUACCUACAUCACGAUAACCCUUCUUUGAAAAACUUUAGAGUGCUCUAGUUUUUGGAUAACAAAUGGACCUCCCGACAAUUUUAAUGUAGCUGAUUUCUCCUCGUUUAGUUAGGGUACAUGCUCUCUAGCUAAGGAUGUGUUAGGAAAGUUAAUAAAGGAUAUUAGAAGAACGUAUGUAUCUCAUUGACCAAAUAGUUGCAACGCUCUGUACAAUUUGAAACUACAUUGUAAUGUUACUUUUGGGUUUGAGAAACGUUUUAAAAAUUGGAAAUCGGUAAUUGUGAUUUAUUACAUUUAACGAAAUUGAAGGAAUUUAUUUUGGUAAAAAGCAAUGCGCUGACAUAUUAAUAUUUAUAGUUUUACACAGUACAAAGUGGAGAAAUUGGUGGCCAUCUUAAAUUCUUACUUAAAAUAAAAACAUGUUUACAUAAAAUAUAAGAUUUUCAUGAUAUUUUUGUAAGAGUUUAAUAUUUAAAUAUUCUUUUUGCAAAUAUUGUUACAUAAUUGAUACACCAUUCAUUACUAAUAUAUAUAUUAUUUGUAAUUAAUUUUAUUUAAAAGUCAUUAAGAAUUAAAAUAUAUAUGAAUGACAAGUGAUAUUCUUUUGGUACUGCCAAAUGUAUAAAUCAUUAAUUCAUUUUGAGGUUUGUGGCUAUCCCCUCUUAACAAGUGUUGUUCUCAGAAAAAAAUUAGAAAAUUAAUAAUACUUUUGACAAAAAGAUAUCAUUACUCUAUAUAUAUUUGAAUAGAUACACCAGUAACAAUGUUAAAUGUAACACGUUAAGGAGUCAUCUCCCUUUGCUGGUUAUGUGGAGACAUAACAAUUAGAUAAAUGCAUUUAUGUUUUUUAGUAUUAUAAUUUAAUGCUAAAUUUUAAUUAAGUGAUGAUUUUAAUGUGUUAUUUCUAUAUAAAUAUGUCUUCGUACAAGUUUUUUUCGAUAACAUUAUAGCAUGUAAGUUACGAAAUGACAAAGGGCAUCACUUAUGAAGGUGACACGUGGGACAAGUUACACAACAACAUGUGGUUUAGAAUAGUUGGCUCAUUUCUAAUUUCAACUAAUCCUCAAUUUGUCACUAAUUGUGAUGAAGAUGAGAAGGUCAUAAAAGUCCUAUCUGUCCAACUCAUGGAUGGUCACAAAUACAGCUCAAUCCUACACAUUACAUACCUUUAUUUAUAUUUUCACAUAUUAUUAUAUACUCCAAAAAUAUUAUUCUACACCUCACUCAACUUAUAAAUCUCCCAAAAAACUUAUUAUAAAAGGUUUAAUUAUUCAACUUAAAAAUAAUUCAAAUAAAUCUCUAAACUGUUUAAAAGUUAAAAUAGAUUUAUCUUUCUUUUUUGAAAUUUUUAUAAUUGUAAAUACAAAUACAGAAAUUAUUUAUAAAGUUCCCUCAAAAAUCAUUAUAAAAGGUUAAUUAUUAUAUACCUUCAAAAUACUUCAAAUAAGUCUCUAAAAUUUAAAAAUUCAAAUGAAUUUCAUAUAUUUCAUUUCGAAAAAUUAGAAUACUUUUUUUUUUUGUUUAGAAUACUUAUAUUAUUUCUUGUUUUUAUUACAAUGUUUAAUAAUUUAAAGAGAGAGUUGUGACUAAUGUAUUAAUGAAUACUUAGGAUUAUAUAGUUUUUUUUAAUAUGUUAAAAACAAAAUGAAAGUGAAAAUUACAUAUUACAAAUAUACGACCAAAUUUAAAUAAAUAAACAAAUCUCAAUGUAUAAUUUCUAGUGCUGCCAAUAGUAUUUUUCACAUUUUUACGUAAGGAACUAAUUGAUUCUUCCAACAACUGCUGCUUCUAAGAAUCGAAUCUUCAACAACUGCUGCUUCCAAGAGUCGAAUCUUCAACAACCUUGAGAUGAAGUACAAUGAGAUCUUACAUCAUGAAACCAAUUAGUUCUAUAUGCAUCUUUGAAUUAUAAUCAUAUAUUACCAUUUUUAAUUGAAAAACUAUUUAAAUUUCCUAAUAAACUAUAUUCUCAUACAUUAGUAUAACCGAAUAAAGGGGCGCAUAUAUGCUGUUACACAUUUAGUAUUAUUAUAUGUAAUAUGACUUUAUGAUUUAUCAAAAAAUUUCUUAAAAAUUAAAUUAUAACUUAAAUAUAUUUUUUUAUACAAUCACAUAUGCUGCCAUGUGAUUGUUUGUUUUCAUUCAUUAAAAUAUGAUAAGAUAGAUUUAUUAUGGAGGGCAACGAUUUAAAUUUCCAUUAUAUUUUUUACUUUAUAUAUUUUGAUUUGCACUUAUAAUUUUAUCAUAUAUUUUAUGUAUUUUUAUUAUUUUAUACGCGUAUCCCCUGAACGUAUCGUAUCCUGUAUUUUGGAAAGAAAAAAAUACGUAUCGACGUAUCAGAUACGUAUCAUACCCGACAUAGGUAUCACUAAUAAACCUCACCCACCAUAAAAACACGCAGUCUCUCUUUCAGUCUCUCUUCUCGUCUUUGACAAUCCCAAUCCCCAAAAUCAAAAAAUGGUUUCUUCAAUCUCAGAAAACCUAACCAACGACCAAUACGUUUACCUCGCAAAACUCGCCGAACAAGCCGAACGCUACGAAGAGAUGGUUCAAUUCAUGCAGAAGCUCGUAACCUCUUCCACCUCCGAACUCACCGUUGAAGAACGCAACCUUCUCUCCGUCGCGUACAAGAACGUUAUCGGUUCCCUCCGUGCCGCGUGGCGCAUCGUAUCUUCAAUUGAAAUGAAGGAAGAGGGUCGCAAGAACGAUGAACAUGUUGUGCUUGUUAAGGAUUAUAGAUCUAAGGUGGAGAAUGAGCUUUCUAAUGUUUGUGAUAGUAUUCUUAAGCUUCUUGAUGAUAAUCUUAUUCCUUCUGCGACUUUGAGUGAGUCGCAAGUGUUUUAUUUGAAGAUGAAGGGUGAUUAUCAUCGUUAUUUAGCUGAGUUUAAGAUUGGGCAUGAGAAAAAAUCUGCUGCUGAAGAAACCUUUUUUUCUUAUAAGGCUGCACAGGUUCUCUUUUACUCAUAAUUGCUUUAAAUUUUCAAUUUUUUACUUGUUUAGAUUGGGAUUUAAGUUCUGUUUGUUUAGCCUUGGAAAAAAUUGAUUUUGAAAAUGUGAUUUACUUUUAAUUGAUGUUUAUAGAAGUUAGAUGGAUUUGGUUAAAUUUAAAUAUAUAAAAAAAAUCAAUUUUUACUUGAGAAGACCUGCUUCUCAAAAUAAUCAACAAAUCUAAUUAUUUUGAUAUGCUGCUUAUUCAAAAAAAUGUUACCUGAACAUAAGUCAUGUCUUGUAAAAAAUAUUAAAUUAGUUAAGAAAUUAGACAAAAUUUUAAUGUUCUGAUUUUGGGUUGUUUUUAAUUUUUUUCCCAUAGGAUAUUGCUCAAGUUAAUCUUCCACCCACACAUCCAAUUAGAUUGGGUUUGGCUCUGAACUUCUCUGUGUUCUACUAUGAAAUUCUCAACCAGUCUGAUAAGGCAUGUGGGAUGGCUAAACAGGUAUGCAUGGUUUAUGAAUUUCAAUUGGAGAGAUAAUCUGGCUUGUGUUAUUUGAUUUGAGCUGUAGAAGUUUGUCAAGUUUUGUUCUGCUAUAAUCUGUCCAGAAUUGCAUGAUUUAUUGAUAUAUGAAUUUCAAAUCUGAUUUAUUGUAAUGGCAUGAUUUGUACUUGCGCCGAGAAUGAUUUAUUGGAAUCUUAUAAAAGUAAGAGGCCCUGGUUCUGUUUGAGUUGGGUAUAUGGUCCUGUACCUAAGGAGAAGAUUGUUGAAAACUAGGAAUUUUGUUAAUUUCUCUAGUUUGGUUUGCUUUAGAAUCUGUUUUCUCCAAAUAUUGUGAAGUUUUAAGGAUCCAGUGUAACAUAACUUUUAUUCCACUCUGACCACAAACAGAAAUAAGGUUAACAUGGAUAGUAGUUCUUACUUAUGUGUGUGUACCCAUGAUAGUUGGGCCAAUGAAUUACAAUAACAUAGAAGUUUGACUUUCACAUUCGGGUUGUUUGCAGUUUCACAGGUGAGGCUAAGGUUAUUCUGAGGGAACUUAUAGUUUCUGAAAGUGAUUGUGUUCAGUGUGAAUUAUGGUACUACAUUGAAUGAAUUUGUACUAGUACCGAGUAUUUUUAACAUGAAGCUUGGUAAUUUUUUCACUUCAAUUGGACUAUUGACAAAAGGGGAAGUUGCAUACAGAAGCAAGUUAACAAAAAUACUUUCGCUUUGUUUCAACAGAACUAUUUUUUAGAAAUAAAAUGUUACUAUUUAUUUACAAUGAUGUUAUUAUGCUUUCCCUGUACCAAACUCCCGAAACUUUAACUCAAAAAUUAAAAAUUCCCCCCACAAAAGAAGUAUACUUCAAUUUGUCUAUAAAUUAAAACCAGUCAUAUCUUGCUGCAACCCUCAUAUAAGUCACAUGAUUCCAUGUUUUCUUGUGUUCCAUUCAUGCUUGGCUUCUAUUUUACCGAGUACUGCCGUAGGAGCAUAGUCUUAUUGAUCCUAAAAAUUUACUGAACCUUAGUCUUUCCAAUUUUUAAAGGCUUUUGAGGAAGCAAUUGCUGAGCUGGACACCCUGGGAGAAGAAUCCUACAAAGACAGCACUCUCAUAAUGCAACUUUUGAGAGACAACCUCACUCUUUGGACUUCUGAUGUUCAGGUAAAUAUUACUAUAACCGAACCCCACACCCAUUAUAGAAUAUUCUUCUGUAAAAACAGUUUGAUCAAUCUCUAUUUCCUAAUGCUAAGUUAAGCUAUAUUUGAUUCCCU
rnacentral:lncRNA from 1 species